CUUUACUAUAACUUUACAUUGAGUUUAGAAAUUGAAUAUGUAGCAUAGAUGGGAGACUAUGAGACUUUAAUGCAAGUUAAAGUGGAGUCGUCAGUGAAAUACCAUUUUUUUAAUUUUUAAAUUCUAAUCAUAUGUUGUAUAUGCUGCAAUGAGACAGUGUAUGGUGGUUAGUUUGACUGGGGCGGUCGCCUCCUAAAGCGUAACGGAGGCGUACGAAGGUAGGCUCAGUUGGGUUGGAAAUCCAACUUUUGAGUGUAAUGGCAAAAGCCUGCUUGACUGUAAGACGUACAUGUCGAACAGGGACGAAAGUCGGUCAUAGUGACCCGGUGGUUUCUGUGAGGAAAGGCCAUCGAUCAACGGAUAAAAGGUA
rnacentral:rRNA from 1 species